rnacentral:rRNA from 1 species
CGUAGGGUGCAAGCGUUAAUCGGAAUUACUGGGCGUAAAGCGUGCGCAGGCGGUGAUGUAAGACAGGUGUGAAAUCCCCGGGCUUAACCUGGGAACUGCAUUUGUGACUGCAUCGCUGGAGUGCGGCAGAGGGGGAUGGAAUUCCGCGUGUAGCAGUGAAAUGCGUAGAUAUGCGAAGGAACACCGAUGGCGAAGGCAAUCCCCUGGGCCUGCACUGACGCUCAUGCACGAAAGCGUGGGGAGCAAACAGGAUUAGAUACCCUGGUAGUCCACGCCCUAAACGAUGUCAACUGGUUGUUGGGUCUUCACUGACUCAGUAACGAAGCUAACGCGUGAAGUUGACCGCCUGGGGAGUACGGCCGCAAGGUUG